rnacentral:rRNA from 1 species
UACGGGGGGGGCAAGCGUUGUUCGGAAUUACUGGGCGUAAAGGGCUCGUAGGUGGCCAACUAAGUCGGACGUGAAAUCCCUCAGCUUAACUGGGGAACUGCGUCCGAUACUGGAUGGCUUGAGUUUGGGAGAGGGAUGCGGAAUUCCAGGUGUAGCGGUGAAAUGCGCAGAUAUCGGGAAGAACACCCGUGGCGAAGGCGGCUCUCUGGAACGCAACUGACGCUGAGACGCGAAAGCGUGGGGAGCAAACAGG